UGCUGGGAAAUGCAGUCUGGCUGCUGGCUGGAUCUGCCAUUUUGCCCACCCUUGCCUUAACUGAAGGCAAUCUGCACCUCUCUUUUUCAGUGUUGUAAUAACAGCUAUUUUGAAAGAAGGUUGUUCUGGUUUUUUGAAUAAAAACAUUACCUUUUUAGUUACUGCUGAAAGAGGAACUUUUUUAAUGAAGAACAAUGGAGAAAGUAUAUCAUAAAUUGUUAAAUAAUGUCUUAAGAUCUAUUUAAGUGUUCAACUCUCAUUUUCAUAUAGAGAUGAUACUUCAAUUGACAUUGUUUGGGAUGGCAAAAGAUUUGAUACUGAGUGAAAGUAGGUACUAUUAAAACUGCUUGUAACUUGUAAACUGAUGAACAGAUUAAUCUGUAAGGUCUCAAACUUCAUAAACCAUUCAGAGUAAUUGUUUUUUUGGGGAAGGACGUGCUGUUUUCUUUAUCUAACAGUGCGGUUGAAUCCUUGCUUUUGAAGUAUGACAUUCAGCCUCAAUUAUGGAGACUCAGUUUUUGGUGUCUUCAUGAUAUGUAUUUUAGGUUUGUAAGUAGAAGAGACAGACAAAUUUGUUUAAUUUCUUAAUUUUGGAACUACAUGUUGGCUGAGGAAAUUUUUUUUUAAUAUUUAAAUCUCAAUUGUUUUUAUGCGUGUCACAUGGGAAUGUGCCACAGUUCCAGAAUAGUUUGUUGUCUUCGGCAGAAUACCAUUGCUUUGGUGAAAUUCACAGAAUUGGAAGGGGGAAAUGCAAGGUACAAGAAGUCAUUGAAUCAUAGAAACUCCCUGUCUCUUGUUUGCCAGACCCAGGAUCAUCUCUUAUGGUCUAUAGGCCAAACAACCAGUAUUUUCCAGUGUAACACCAACCUAUCUCUCAGCUCUGCUCAUUUUCCCAAUAAUGUGGAAUGUUGACACUAUAGAUGAUUUACCUCCCAGGCAGAAGGAAAAGAAAUAGUACUGGUGGUAGCAAGGAAGUGAGAAUGGGACACCCACAUAGGGUCCCUGAUCUUGGAGGAAUUGUUUCCCUGCAUUCAGAGGGGAGGGAAUGAAGGCAUACAAGGAGUUUGUAGCGGGGGAAUAAAAGGAUGCCCAUAUUCUGCAGUGAGCUUAGCCUACACAAGUAAGUAUAGAAUUUUACCUGGGAAAAAUCUUUUGGUAUUAAUCUUUCUGAAGGCAGAGCUUGUUUUGUAGUAAAAGUCUCUUCUGCUUGGAAAACUUCGAACAAGCUUUGUUAAUGCUGGUCUCUGGGAGUGGAAUUGGACAACUAAUUUGAAUGGAAUAUGUCGUUCUGGCUUAAAUCCAUUUCUGAAGCAGUUCUAUAAAAUCAAUAUGAAAAUAUUUUGGGAAAUUGGAGAUGAUAAACUGUAUCUUAGUGACUUUAUUUAAAAUGUGUUGUGUAGGGUGUGAAAGCAGGGAGGUGACAGAAUGAGAAAUUUAGGUAUAUAAAUAACUGUUAACCCCUUGCAGAAUAGAUGCUUUUAAAACAAGGCUUCUAUCACUAUUAUGUUCAGAGUACUAUGCUAUU